CGAACGAUGAACCACUUCGGUGGGGAUUAGUGGCGAACGGGUGAGUAACACGUGGGCAAUCUGCCCUGCACUCUGGGACAAGCCCUGGAAACGGGGUCUAAUACCGGAUAUUGACCUUCACGGGCAUCUGUGAGGUUCGAAAGCUCCGGCGGUGCAGGAUGAGCCCGCGGCCUAUCAGCUUGUUGGUGAGGUAAUGGCUCACCAAGGCGACGACGGGUAGCCGGCCUGAGAGGGCGACCGGCCACACUGGGACUGAGACACGGCCCAGACUCCUACGGGAGGCAGCAGUGGGGAAUAUUGCACAAUGGGCGAAAGCCUGAUGCAGCGACGCCGCGUGAGGGAUGACGGCCUUCGGGUUGUAAACCUCUUUCAGCAGGGAAGAAGCGAAAGUGACGGUACCUGCAGAAGAAGCGCCGGCUAACUACGUGCCAGCAGCCGCGGUAAUACGUAGGGCGCAAGCGUUGUCCGGAAUUAUUGGGCGUAAAGAGCUCGUAGGCGGCUUGUCACGUCGGUUGUGAAAGCCCGGGGCUUAACCCCGGGUCUGCAGUCGAUACGGGCAGGCUAGAGUUCGGUAGGGGAGAUCGGAAUUCCUGGUGUAGCGGUGAAAUGCGCAGAUAUCAGGAGGAACACCGGGUGGCGAAGGCGGAUCUCUGGGCCGAUACUGACGCUGAGGAGCGAAAGCGUGGGGAGCGAACAGGAUUA
rnacentral:rRNA from 1 species